GGACUACUGGGGUAUCUAAUCCUGUUUGCUCCCCACGCUUUCGCGCCUCAGCGUCAGCAUCGGCCCAGCGAGCCGCCUUCGCCACCGGUGUUCUUCCCGAUAUCUACGCAUUCCACCGCUACACCGGGAAUUCCACUCGCCUCUACCGAGCUCUAGCCAUGCAGUCUCACCUGCAGCCCCGGAGUUGAGCCCCGGGAUUUCACAAGUGACUUACACGGCCGCCUACGCGCCCUUUACGCCCAGUGAUUCCGGACAACGCUCGCACCCUCCGUAUUACCGCGGCUGCUGGCAC
rnacentral:rRNA from 1 species